UCGCUUUCGGUGUGAGGCACAAGAAGAUUUGGUCUUCUAGGAAGGGAUUAUGCCUAAAGUGAA
rnacentral:tRNA from 1 species